rnacentral:misc_RNA from 1 species
UGAAAGGCGAAACGUAAUGUGAAUCGCAACUAACAGUGAAUCAUCAAAUCUUUGAACGCAGGCCGCACCUUGCAUAUCAUUUAUGAUAUUGCAAGGCAUCUAUGUAUGAGUGUCAGCCCCAAAAUCCUUGUGGUUUAAUAGUAAUAUUAUGUACUAUUGAAUCCAUCAUGUGCAAGUAUGUUUGAUACAUGCAUUUUAACGAAUGUGUCUGGCCUCAUAUGUGGAAGGUUACCCGCUGGAUUUAA